rnacentral:rRNA from 1 species
UACGUAGGGGGCAAGCGUUGUCCGGAUUUACUGGGCGUAAAGAGCGUGUAGGCGGCCAGGCAGGUCUGUUGUGAAAACUGGAGGCUCAACUUCCAGACGUCGACAGAAACCGCUUGGCUAGAGUCCGGAAGAGGAGAGUGGAAUUCCUGGUGUAGCGGUGAGAUGCGCAGAUAUCAGGAAGAACACCGAUGGCGAAGGCAGCUCUCUGGGACGGUACUGACGCUGAGACGCGAAAGCGUGGGGAGCGAACAGG